UACGGAGGGGGCUAGCGUUGUUCGGAAUUACUGGGCGUAAAGCGCACGUAGGCGGCUUUGUAAGUUAGAGGUGAAAGCCCGGGGCUCAACUCCGGAAUUGCCUUUAAGACUGCAUCGCUAGAAUUGUGGAGAGGUAAGUGGAAUUCCGAGUGUAGAGGUGAAAUUCGUAGAUAUUCGGAAGAACACCAGUGGCGAAGGCGACUUACUGGACACAUAUUGACGCUGAGGUGCGAAAGCGUGGGGAGCAAACAG
rnacentral:rRNA from 1 species